UCGGGGGGUAUGCCUCAGGUAGCGGCGAGUGAGCGGCAAGAGCUCAGAUUUGAAAUCUCACCUAGUGUGCGAGUUGUAAAUUGCAGGUUGGAGUCUCGGGUUAGACGUGUGUGCAAGUCCCUUGGAACAGGGUGCCACUGAGGGUGAGAGCCCCGUAGCGUGCAUGUCGACACCUGUGAGGCCCUUCUGACGAGUCGAGUUGUUUGGGAAUGCAGCUCUAAGUGGGUGGUAAAUUCCAUCUAAGGCUAAAUAUUGGCGAGAGACCGAUAGCGAACAAGUACUGUGAAGGAAAGAUGAAAAGCACUUUGAAAAGAGAGUGAAACAGCACGUGAAAUUGUUGAAAGGGAAGGGUAUUGGGCUCGACAUGGGAUUUACGCAUCGUUGCCUCUCGUGGGCGGCGCUCUGGGUUUUUCCUGGGCCAGCAUCGGUUUUCGUUGCAGGAUAAGGACAAUUGGAAUGUGGCUCCUCGGAGUGUUAUAGCCUUUUGUAGAUGCUGCGUAUGGGGACCGAGGGCUGCGGCGGACUCGUUUCGUCUCGGAUGCUGGCACAACGGCGCAAUACCGCCCGUCUUGAAACACGGACC
rnacentral:rRNA from 1 species